rnacentral:rRNA from 1 species
GACGAACGCUGGCGGCAUGCCUAAUACAUGCAAGUCGAGCGGACUUUCAAGAAGCUUGCUUUUUGAAAGUUAGCGGCGGACGGGUGAGUAACACGUGGGCAACCUGCCUGCAAGACGGGGAUAACUCCGGGAAACCGGGGCUAAUACCGGAUAAUAUCUUCCUUCGCAUGAAGGAAGGUUGAAAGGCGGCGCAAGCUGCCGCUUGCAGAUGGGCCCGCGGCGCAUUAGCUAGUUGGUGAGGUAACGGCUCACCAAGGCGACGAUGCGUAGCCGACCUGAGAAGGUGAUCGGCCACACUGGGACUGAGACACGGCCCAGACUCCUACGGGAGGCAGCAGUAGGGAAUCUUCCGCAAUGGACGAAAGUCUGACGGAGCAACGCCGCGUGAGCGAAGAAGGUCUUCGGAUCGUAAAGCUCUGUUGUCAGGGAAGAACAAGUACCGUUCGAACAGGGCGGUACCUUGACGGUACCUGACCAGAAAGCCACGGCUAACUACGUG